AAAUUGAAGAGUUUGAUCAUGGCUCAGAUUGAACGCUGGCGGCAGGCCUAACACAUGCAAGUCGAACGGUAACAGGAAGCAGCUUGCUGCUUUGCUGACGAGUGGCGGACGGGUGAGUAAUGUCUGGGAAACUGCCUGAUGGAGGGGGAUAACUACUGGAAACGGUGGCUAAUACCGCAUAAUGUCGCAAGACCAAAGAGGGGGACCUUCGGGCCUCUUGCCAUCAGAUGUGCCCAGAUG
rnacentral:rRNA from 2 species